AUCCAAUGGCAAAGAGAUAGUAUAACAGCUCUUAAUAGCUUACCUCCUCUCACCGAAAGUGUGCAUUGCAUACUAGCAAAACAAAUCAUAGCUACUAAGAAAAAAAAUGUCCGGUAUGAGCAUGUUCACAAUAUGUAAACAGUGUACAAAAUACAAAGAGGGGAACAAGGCAAAAUUAUUUAUAUUUUGGAGGGGCCAAAGUAAAAUUACAUAGAUUUUGAAGGGGACAAAAUAUCAACUUCAUUAAUAAAUACUCAAAAUACAAUGGGGAUAAAAUGGGUAUUAUGUUACAAAAUAUGUUAUAGGAUUUGUGUCCACCAAUGGGCAUUAUGUUAUAAAAUAAGGUAACAGAUUUGUGUUCACAUUAGCCAAAAGCAUUUUGUUGACAUUAUGUUAUAAAAUAUGUUACAGGAUUUGUGUUCACCUUAUGACGUUUUUCUUUUUUCAAUUUUUUCUUUUUCUAUUUGGGCAAUAACAGUAGGAAGUUACUGACUUAAGAGUAAUCCAUUACCAGGUAAUAUCAUCUGCAAGAGAGAGAGAGAGAGAGAGAGAGAGAGAGAGAGAGAGUUGUGAAACAUUUCAUUACAAAAUGAAAAUUUUGUACUACUAAAUUUUCAACUUGGUUUCAAUUUCAAUUAAGAAAAUUUGGCCACUAUCAACAAGCUAGCGUUCCAACAGGAAUCAAGCAGCAAAAUACACAAUUUUAACAAGCUUCAUGUGCUUAUACUUAAUUAGCAGGAAAGUCCUAUAAAACAAUUUAAAAAAAUAGUCCUUUAUGCAGUUCCAGUAAGGUAACAAAAACCAAUGUUCCAUGAAAAAUAAUUCUAAGGCAGCUGAUUGAGGUGGGUAGUAAAAAACAAUUCUUGAUUGGAAAUGAAUACAUAAUUUUUUUAACAAAGUUCACAUCCACCAAUAAAAAAUCAUCAAAUAAAGUUACACUAAAAGAACCCAGCCAAAAUACACUAGCAAACAGAGAGGGGAAAAAUAAAUAAAUAAACCCAAAAAAUAUGAAAAUUAUUUGCCAAACUUUAAUUAACCAAAAAAAAAGGACAAGGAACAAAAAUAAUAACAAAGAUUUAUAUAAUACCCUAACUCGAGCAUUAUCAGCAAGAGUUAUGAGGGGGA